GCCCCAGUAGCUCAGUGGAUAGAGCAAAGGGUUUCUAACCCUUAGGUCGCAGGUUCGAACCCUGCCUGGGGCA
rnacentral:tRNA from 1 species